rnacentral:rRNA from 1 species
UACGGAGGGUGCAAGCGUUAAUCGGAAUUACUGGGCGUAAAGCGUGCGCAGGCGGUUUGUUAAGUCUGCUGUGAAAUCCCCGAGCUCAACUUGGGAAUUGCAGUGGAUACUGGCAAGCUGGAGUACGGUAGAGGAAGGUGGAAUUCCCGGUGUAGCAGUGAAAUGCGUAGAGAUCGGGAGGAACACCAGUGGCGAAGGCGGCCUUCUGGACCAGUACUGACGCUCAUGCACGAAAGCGUGGAGAGCAAACAGG